GAGCAGCGCCAUGAGCAACACUACCAUCGUCCCCAGCACUGCGGGUCCGGGCCCCAGCGGCGGGCCUAGUAGCGGAGGUGGUGGCGGCGGUGGAGGCUGUGGCACCGAGGUAAUAGAUGACUAAUCUCCCCGAGCGCUAGCUCUGAGCAGAUGCGGACUCUCUUCGGUUUCCCAGGCAAGAUCGACGAACCACACCUCUUCCCGCUGGAUCAUUCACCUUUGCCAAUCUCAGUCUUGUUAAGUUCCAUGAUCCAGACUCAGCAGUUGUGGCACCACGUCUGACACUGUGUUCCUUGACAGAGCUUUGAUAAUGUACCAUAUGCAGAAGGAGUUAUUCCUGAUAAGGCUAAGGCUUGCUUGUCUCUGUUGGCACCAGCUAAUGCAGUGGCACGUCUUCUGCCUGGUGUUGGGCUCCAGCCUACUCCUAACCCACUUACUCAGACUGGCGCAGUUCCACCGGCUGCUUUGGGGGCUCCUACUCUUGGUCCUGCCCUUGCUGCCCUUGGGCUUCCUGGAGCAAAGUUGAACUCAGUCUGUUGCCACAGAUCAGUUGCUGAAGCUUAUGAGUACUGUUGAUCCCAAGUUGAAGCAUGUGGCUGCUGGUCUUGUUUCACCAAGUCUGAAAUCGGAUACCUCUAGUAAAGAAAUAGAGGAAGAGGCCCUGCGUGUACAAGAAGCACAGUCCCUAAUUUCGGCUGCUAUAGAACCAAAGAAGAAAGAAGGCAUUCAAGAUCAUCUUCUAAACACAGACAGUCAAGAAACAGAUCAAGAGAGCGAUCACAUUCUAAGUCUAGGAGUCGUUGAUCCAAAAGCCCAAGGCAGAGAAGAUCUCAUUCCAGAGAGAGAGGUAGAAGAUCAAGGAGCACAUCAAAAACGAGAGACGAAAAGAAAUAAGACGAAAGAAACGUUCUAAAACACCACCAAAAAAUUACAGCAGAGCCAGACAUUGUAGAAGUACAAACAGAGACGACAACGAAGAAGCAGGACUGGAACAAGAUCUCCCAAAAAGUCGCAGUCUCCUAAAAGAAAAUUGUCUCUCUCACCAUCCCCUGGGAGACAUAAAAAGAAGAAAAAAGAUAGUAGGGAUGAAAGAGUAGGGAGAAAGAUAGUAGGGGUGAAAGAGAACGAUCAACAAACAAGAAGAAGAGUAAAGAUAAGGAAAAGGAUCAGGAAAGAAAAUCAGAGAGUGAUAUAGAUGUAAAAGUUACACGGGUUUAUGAUGAAGAGGAACCGGGUUAUGACAGCAAGAAAGAGGAAAAAAGAAGAGAAGAAAGCAAUAGAAGCAGGUUCCCCUAAAACAAAGAAAUGUUCUGUGGAAAAGGGAACUGAUGAUUCACUAAGAGAAUCCAAAGUGAAUGGGAAUGAUCAUCAUGAAGAAGACAUGGGUAUGAGUGACUGAAUAUUGCCUCUAUGGGAAUCCAACUGUAUAUAUGCAUCAGUGUCAUUCCUUUGUGUGAUUUCUGAAUGCUAUAUUUGUUCAUCUCAAACCUAGAUGUAUACAGCUCUGAGUUAUUAAUGGCUAUAAAGCACCCGUUAUUGAUACUAAUUUACAUCAAAAAGCUUUUAGAAAAUGGUAUGACGUAAGCAAUUCUUGUCAUGGUGACAUCUGAUGGAGUAACCAGUUUUACUCUUGGUGCUGCUUCAUAACAGAAAUGAAAAGCUGCAUGCUCCUACAGCAGGAAUGGAUUGUUUAUGUCAUAUAAUUUCCUUUAUUAAGUUCACUUAUAGUACUUCUAGAAUGUUAUGCAUCGGGUUAAUAGAGCCAUGUAGGAAAUGCACUGAUUGCAUGUUAUUGUGGCAAGAAUAUCCUAAAUGUCAUUAAAAUCCUCCAACAUGA